UUAUAAAUUUUAUCCCUUUUUGAAGAAGAAGUUUUGACUAAAAUGAAUUUCGAAGUGCAGACUAAACGAUCUGUCAGUGAGGUUCUGUCAACCAUCUCACACAUGCCUACACUAAAUGGUAAGGGCAAGGACGUAUUGGCGAAUGACAAGAGGAAUCCUUGAACGAGACAUUGGGACCAGCUUUAAUGCUUCCGUUCAUGAUAUUUAGAUUUCUUUCCAUGUUUUUCAACUUUCAAUUUGAUGUUCGAAACUUACUAUUUCGAUUUGUUUUCAGACCUAUUUAUUAUCAUUUAUAAUUUAUAGGCA